AACGCGAAGAACCUUACCUGGGCUCGAAAUGUACAGGAAUCCGGUGGAAACAUCGGCGCCCCGCAAGGGGCCUGUAUAUAGGUGCUGCAUGGCUGUCGUCAGCUCGUGUCGUGAGAUGUUGGGUUAAGUCCCGCAACGAGCGCAACCCUUAUUACCAGUUGCUACCAUUUAGUUGAGCACUCUGGUGAGACUGCCUCGGAUAACGGGGAGGAAGGCGGGGAUGACGUCAAGUCCUCAUGGCCUUUAUGUCCAGGGCUACACACGUGCUACAAUGGUCGGUACAAACCGUCGCAAACCCGCGAGGGGGAGCUAAUCGGAAAAAGCCGGCCUCAGUUCGGAUUGGAGUCUGCAACUCGACUCCAUGAAGCUGGAAUCGCUAGUAAUCGCAGAUCAGAAUGCUGCGGUGAAUACGUUCCCGGGCCUUGUA
rnacentral:rRNA from 1 species